rnacentral:tRNA from 1 species
AUUUAAGUAGCUUAUACCAAGAGCAAGGUACUGAAGAUACCUAGGAAGUUGUUACUCUUAAAUA